GACGAACGCUGGCGGCGUGCUUAACACAUGCAAGUCGAACGGUAACGGGCCUUCGGGUGCCGACGAGUGGCGAACGGGUGAGUAAUGUAUCGGAACGUACCUUUCAGUGGGGGAUAACGUAGCGAAAGUUACGCUAAUACUGCAUAUUCUGUGCGCAGGAAAGCAGGGGAUCGCACGACCUUGCGCUGAUUGAGCGGCCGAUAUCAGAUUAGCUAGUUGGUGAGGUAAAGGCUCACCAAGGCGACGAUCUGUAGCGGGUCUGAGAGGAUGAUCCGCCACACUGGAACUGAGACACGGUCCAGACUCCUACGGGAGGCAGCAGUGGGGAAUUUUGGACAAUGGGGGCAACCCUGAUCCAGCCAUGCCGCGUGAGUGAAGAAGGCCUUCGGGUUGUAAAGCUCUUUCGGCCGGGAAGAAAUCGCAUGGGCUAAUACCCUGUGCGGAUGACGGUACCGGCAUAAGAAGCACCGGCUAACUACGUGCCAGCCGCCGCCGUAAAAC
rnacentral:rRNA from 1 species